rnacentral:rRNA from 1 species
CCUUAGGCCAGACUACGCCAGCCGGUGGAUAACUCGGCUUGGGGGCCGAAGAAGGGCGCGGCAAGCUGCGAUAAGCUCCGGGUAGCCGCAAGCAGGCUUUGAUCCGGAGAUUCCCGAAUGGGAUUUCCCGGCGUCCAACGUUUCGGCGUUGGACGUCGCUCCGUGGCCUCGAGCUGCGGAGCGGGAACCGGCCGAACGGAAGCAUCCAAGUAGGCCGAGGAGAAGAAAUCAAACGAGACUCCCCGAGUAACGGCGAGUGAAAGGGGACCAGGCCAAACCAAACCCGCAUGGGAAACUGUGCGGGGAUGUGGAGUGUGGGCCAGCCGCCCUCCUGCGCCCAGCGACCCGAAGCGACCUGGAAGGGUCCGCCUCAGAGGGUGAAAGC